GGGGAUAUAGCUCAGCCGGUAGAGGGCUUGUCUCACAUGCACAAGGCUCUGGGUUCAAUCCCCAGCACCCCCC
rnacentral:tRNA from 1 species